rnacentral:rRNA from 1 species
UACGUAGGGGGCGAGCGUUGUCCGGAUUUAUUGGGCGUAAAGAGCGUGUAGGCGGCUUGGCAAGUCCGCUGUGAAAACUCGAGGCUCAACCUCGAGCUGUCGGUGGAAACUUUCUGGCUAGAGUCCGGAAGAGGAGAAUGGAAUUCCUGGUGUAGCGGUGAAAUGCGCAGAUAUCAGGAAGAACACCCGUGGCGAAGGCGGUUCUCUGGGACGGUACUGACGCUGAGACGCGAAAGCGUGGGGAGCGAACAGG